UGGCUGUCCUGGAGACACCACGGUC
rnacentral:misc_RNA from 1 species